AGAGUUUGAUCAUGGCUCAGAGCGAACGCUGGCGGCAGGCUUAACACAUGCAAGUCGAGCGGGCGUAGCAAUACGUCAGCGGCAGACGGGUGAGUAACGCGUGGGAACGUACCUUUUGGUUCGGAACAACCCAGGGAAACUUGGACUAAUACCGGAUAAGCCCUUACGGGGAAAGAUUUAUCGCCGAAAGAUCGGCCCGCGUCUGAUUAGCUAGUUGGUGAGGUAAUGGCUCACCAAGGCGACGAUCAGUAGCUGGUCUGAGAGGAUGAUCAGCCACAUUGGGACUGAGACACGGCCCAAACUCCUACGGGAGGCAGCAGUGGGGAAUAUUGGACAAUGGGCGCAAGCCUGAUCCAGCCAUGCCGCGUGAGUGAUGAAGGCCCUAGGGUUGUAAAGCUCUUUUGUGCGGGAAGAUAAUGACGGUACCGCAAGAAUAAGCCCCGGCUAACUUCGUGCCAGCAGCCGCGGUAAUACGAAGGGGGCUAGCGUUGCUCGGAAUCACUGGGCGUAAAGGGUGCGUAGGCGGGUCUUUAAGUCAGGGGUGAAAUCCUGGAGCUCAACUCCAGAACUGCCUUUGAUACUGAAGAUCUUGAGUUCGGGAGAGGUGAGUGGAACUGCGAGUGUAGAGGUGAAAUUCGUAGAUAUUCGCAAGAACACCAGUGGCGAAGGCGGCUCACUGGCCCGAUACUGACGCUGAGGCACGAAAGCGUGGGGAGCAAACAGGAUUAGAUACCCUGGUAGUCCACGCCGUAAACGAUGAAUGCCAGCCGUUAGUGGGUUUACUCACUAGUGGCGCAGCUAACGCUUUAAGCAUUCCGCCUGGGGAGUACGUCGCAAGAUUAAACUCAAAGGAUUGACGGGGGCCCGCACAGCGGUGGAGCAUGUGGUUUAAUUCGACGCACGCGCAGAACCUUACCAGCCCUUGACAUCCCGGUCGCGGACUCCAGAG
rnacentral:rRNA from 1 species